AACGAACGCUGGCGGCAUGCCUAACACAUGCAAGUCGAACGAGACCUUCGGGUCUAGUGGCGCACGGGUGCGUAACGCGUGGGAACCUGCCCUUAGGUUCGGAAUAACUCCCCGAAAGGGGUGCUAAUACCGGAUAAUGUCUUCGGACCAAAGAUUUAUCGCCUUUGGAUGGGCCCGCGUUGGAUUAGCUAGUUGGUAGGGUAAAAGCCUACCAAGGCGACGAUCCAUAGCUGGUCUGAGAGGAUGAUCAGCCACACUGGGACUGAGACACGGCCCAGACUGGUAGGGGGGGGAGGAGUGGGGAAUAUUGGACAAGGGGCGAAAGCCUGAUCCAGCAAUGCCGCGUGAGUGAUGAAGGCCUUAGGGUUGUAAAGCUCUUUUACCCGGGAUGAUAAUGACAGUACCGGGAGAAUAAGCUCCGGCUAACUCCGUG
rnacentral:rRNA from 1 species